UGACCUGAAGGGUUUUCUCUGACAGGUCUGGGAGCUGCAUGACCAGGCUUGAGGCAGGCAGCAGCUGGGGUUUGGGAGGACACAGGCACGUGGCUAGCCUCCUGUGGGUGCAUGGCUGCAGAUGAGGCAGCCAUGAGAAACAGUUUGUCUUCCCAGCUGCCUCCUCCACCCUUUGCUACAGAAUCUCGGUGCCACAGCACGGUGCCAGCAGCAGAAAAAUUAAUUCAGAGUUUCCUCCAGGAUCUCCUUUAUUCUGAGUGGCCAGAACCUUUGAAAUGGCUUACCACAUUAUGACCUCAAAGAGAAGAGAAAGGUGCAGCCUCUGCCUUCAGGAGCCUGGGUUCCCACUGGAAAAGGUACAGUGCCGAGGAACCAGAGUUCAUUUGGGAAUUAGAGUGUUGCCGUGCACAAAACGGGAACAAUCAUGCAAAAUAAAAAUGACGGGACAUUUGUGUUGAGCCCCGGGGGCUGAGAAUCACCUUGGUCCAGCAGUGGGAGCAAAGGUGUCUCACGCUGAGAGAUCUCCUCACCCAGAGUUCCGAUUGUUCAGCAACAAUCACAGUAAGUGUAGGAAUCUCAUUUGUGUUGGGAGAAUUCACUUUCACGGACAAUCACUUUCCAUUUAUAUGAAUGAAGAAGCAGCAGAAGAAAAAAGGGUAGAAGAGGAAGAAUAGGAAAACUAGGAGGGAGAAGAAACGGGGGAAG